UUUCAGUCGUAUUCCUGAGCGUACAGUAAAAUUUUGAAGUCCUUAAUGGGAUGGUACCAGGUGGUUUGGGGGGUCGGAAUGAAAUCGUAGGAUAUAGUUUGGUUCUUGAAUGUAACGUUUUCAAAUAAAUACACUACGUUAGGGAAUACGACUGAAAUUGGGGACGCCGCGAAUGCGGUCUAAUAGCAAUUUGGUUUUGACUUGAGGGAGUGGUUUCGCGAACCAGGCAGGGAUGCUAAGUUACUCUCUGCUGCGAAUUGCUGGAGGCUAGUUUCUUCAUUGACAGUAUCCGAAGUUUCAAAGUCCAGAGGUCUUGAGAUUAGCAAAUGUCCUGAGUCUGUGAAUCGACGAGAGUAUUAUCACAAACUGCUGUGAAAGCUGGAGCUGAUGACAUCACUGUUGCCAUGGCGACAGGGCUCCGACAGACCGCUGAAGUUGCGCACCCAGGGCCAUUGUAGGCUGUUAUAGCAGAUCUGUGGAAGAGAUCUUAUCAAAACAAGGAAAAACAAGGGGUUAAUCUUACUCUCUUUCCAGCUGGACAAAAUUUUCUCAGAAUCUACAAAGACUCCUUGGAAAGAGAAACAAUUUGCUCCUGAAAUAAAGUUGCAGCCCUCCACAGAGAGACAGCAGUGAAUCAGGAACUAAAAGGACGGCCGUCCCCA